AUCCGACCCGGUAAGGGUAUCUUUUUAAUUCAUGAUUCUUUGGAUCAAAUUUUUCCGACCAGGCGGAAGCAAUCCGACCCGGUAAAGGUAUCUUUUUAAAACAUGAUUUUAUGGAUCAAAUUUUUCCGAACAGGAGGAAGCAAUCCGACCCGGUAAGGGUUUUCGAGUUGCAAUCACAACGACGGGAAGCGAAGCGACCUCUUCUCCUCUUCUUUCUUCGCCAUCGCCGCCGCUAGGCGACUGCCCCUCCGCCUCCGGCCACUAGCUUCUGUCCAAGAGAGCUCCUUCCCGGGGAAGACGCGUAUUCCAAGGACGGAGGACUGAUUCAGAAUCACAACUGUUCGAUUUGCUGAUGGAACUGUGCUCGUAUUGUUCGUGACACAAACGGACUAAGAUUUCUGCUUCCCAGCUUGCUGCCAUCUUACAACUGGUUGCAGUCCACACAAUGGGCAGCCUGUAUUUUCUGCAUUGACAUGGCGACGACAUAUAUAGUUAGUCAUUUUCUCAAUUAGGGCUGGAUUCUUGACUGCAAUGGCUUCCGGUCUGACUCAAUUUGGCAAUGUGCUUAGCAAGAAAGUCAUGGUCAAGAAAGAGGUCAUAAAUCUUGACAGAUGAAUAUGAAUGCAACAUAACAUUAGUUUUUUAGUUAAUUUCGAACAUUUCUUGUGGUAAUUCGUUUUUUUAUUACAGCAAUCGUUGGACACAUAAAUCUCUUCUCAAUCUGCAAUAUUAUUUGUGAAGGGAAUGCAAUCUUCUAUAUGCUGUCUCAUACAUGAUACUCACAGGAGCAACACCCAUAUCAGCAGGCGUAUAUGCUUAUAAACUUUGUGAAGCGGGUCGUGGUCAUUGUCAGUUCAAUCCUCUUGUUCAUGACUCAGUUUCCACCCAUGAACUCCCUUGGUACUGGCCAUUGCACCAGCAGGAUUUUUCUUCUACUCGAGCAAAAAGAAUCAAGUUAAAGAUUGUGUAGUUUUUUUUUUUUUUUUGUACGUGUUUGAGGAAAUUCUAACUCAUUCUAGAGAGUAUUCAUUUUUGUGCUCGUGAUGUUUGGAUGGGUUUGGGAUGAGAGCAAUUGUUUGCCUCUUUAUAUCUGGAGCUUGAAUCUAACUGGGACUCUUUUAGGAUCCUUUUAUUAGGGAUCGAACCACAGUAAAUCCAUUAUACGCUGUCUUAUAUUA